rnacentral:rRNA from 1 species
CAAUCGAACGUGGAGAUAGCUGGUUCUCCCCGAAAUAGCUUUAGGGCUAGCCUCAUGAAAAGAGUACAGGCGGUAGAGCACUGAACAGGGAAGGGGCCGAGCGGUUACCGAACCUAAUCAAACUACGAAUGGCUGUACUUAUGCAUGGGAGUCAGACUGCGAGUGAUAAGACCCGUAGUCAAGAGGGAAACAGCCCAGACCAACAGCUAAGGUCCCGAAUGCCGUACUAAGUGGCAAAGGAGGUGGCGUUUCGAAAACAACCAGGAUGUUGGCUCAGAAGCAGCCAUCAUUAAAAGAGUGCGUAAUAGCUCACUGGUCGAGAGACGCGGCGCCGAAGAUGACCGGGGCUGAAGUACGGAACCGAAGCUUUGGCAUGUAUGGAGACAUACAUGGGUAGGGGAGCGUUCCUGCGUGGGAGAAGCCUGACCGGAAGGACAGGUGGACAGGCAGGAAGCGAGAAUGCCGGUAUGAGUAGCGAAAAGAAAGGUGGGAAUCCUUUCCACCGAAAGCCUAAGGGUUCCUGGGCAACGAUCGUCGACCCAGGGUAAGUCGGGGCCUAAUCCGAGGCGCAGACGCAUAGGAGAUGGACAACAGGUUGAAAUUCCUGUACCGACACCGUCCGAUAGAGCGAGGGAGUGACACAAGAAGGAACGUUCGCAUGCGAAUGGAAGAGCAUGUCCAAGCCGGUAGGUGGCGUAUCAGGCAAAUCCGGUACGCCGAAAGCCGAGAGGUGAUGGGGAGGCUGUAGAGAUACAGAGGAAGGAACGGGGACUCAAUUGUCAAGAAAAGCUUCUAGCGAGGACGGUGGCGCCCGUACCGAAACCGACACAGGUAGGCAGGACGAGAAUUCUAAGGUGCGCGGGAAACCCCUCGUUAAGGAACUCGGCAAAAUGUAUCCGUAACUUCGGGAAAAGGAUAACCCAGAGUAGGUGAAGGGCAGAAACGGCCGGAGCCGAAAUGGGUGGCACAAGAGAGGCCCAAGCGACUGUUUAGCACAAACACAGGCGUCUGCGAAAGAGAAAUCUGAAGUAUAGAUGCUGACACCUGCCCGGUGCUGGAAGGUUAAGAGGACGUGUGAGCCGCAAGGCGAAGCAGAGAAUUGAAGCCCCAGUAAACGGCGGCCGUAACUAUAACGGUCCUAAGGUAGCGAAAUUCCUUGUCGGGUAAGUUCCGACCCGCACGAAAGGUGUAACGACUUGCGCACUGUCUCAACGAGGGACCCGGUGAAAUUGAAGUACCUGUGAAGAUGCAGGUUACCCGCGACUGGACAGAAAGACCCCAUGGAGCUUUACUGCAACCUAAGAUUGAACUUAGUUAAUGAAUGUACAGGAUAGGUGGGAGACGUAGAACCUAGGACGCUAGUUUUAGGGGAGUCGCUGUUGGGAUACCACCCUUUCAUUAAUUGAUUUCUAACGGGCCGAGUAACGACCGGCCGGACAGUCUUAGGCGGGCAGUUUGACUGGGGCGGUCGCCUCCAAAAGAGUAACGGAGGCGCCCAAAGGUUCCCUCAGAGCGGACGGAAAUCGCUCGAAGAGUGUAAAGGCAGAAGGGAGCUUGACUGCGAGACGGACAGGUCGAGCAGGGACGAAAGUCGGGCUUAGUGAUCCGGUGGUGCCGAGUGGAAGGGCCAUCGCUCAACGGAUAAAAGCUACCCUGGGGAUAACAGGCUAAUCUCUCCCAA